UAAGAUCAUUAAUUUCAAAUCAUUAUUUUAAUAAAUUUUGUUUUGGGAUCAGAACUAGAAUAUAUGUCAAGAAAGAAACCAUAUUGUCUGGCUGUCUUUUCACCCAAGAAAGGAUUUGGUGGACUUAUGGAAUAACAGCAAAGCCUGAGUGCAGUACUUAAAUUACUUUAUCCACGAACCCUAUUUACUUACCUCCCUUUGAAAUGCCAGAAUCCUGUCAUUAUAGGUUUGAAUCGUAGAUUUUACCUGUUUAUGAUUCUUGAUUUUGACAACUCAUAGUUUGUAAAUGUCUUGAGACAUUCAUCACUUGUUCUGUCAAGCUGGUGAUAUCUCUAAAACAUUUUUAAAAAGUGGUAUUUAAGUCAAGUCACAAAUUAUGGCUUUAUUCAUUUGACACCCGUGAAAGAACAGCUUGAAAUAUUCACUGGAGAAAUUGUACAAGUUUCUGUUCGUGAAGUGAUUCAUUAGUUUCAACUUGAGACUUUUCAAAGAAAAGACCAAGUGUUGAUUUAAUAUCACUUUAUAGCUGAAUACAUGAACUAUUAUACUUCCAAAAUUAUUUAUCACAAACCCACAAUGUUGAAAACAUUUUCCUCUCUGACUCUGUCAAUUUAUUGCCUCUGGAGCUCAAGUUUGUUUUUUUCUCAGUUUUUCUAUUCCAUAUUUCUAAUUCCCAAGCAACCAAGAACUGUUCACGGUUCAUUUUUAAGAUGGUUUAAUUUGACUACCAUCGGUAUUAUAUUAAAAAACAACACCACUCAAGAAAUUAAAAAAGGGUGUUAUCCUUAUAGAAUAAUAAAAGGGGAAAUGUAAGGUACAAAAUGCUGCCAACAGGAGUGUACAUGUACUUGUUUCGUUUAUUCCAUCCGUUAAUGGAGAUAAACCUCAUAUUACAUGGGUAUAAAAUUGUACAAUGUAAUGCCUAGGUUUAUAUACGAUAUGUAAUUGCCUUGCCAUUUAACUGUCAGUACCACUUUACAACAAACUGCGCAGCGUAAUUGCAAUUUGUAUUUAUUGCCUUGUAGUAUUUACUCUACGAAGAGCUGAUACCAUGAAUAGCAGUUUCUCUUUUCACAGAAAACAAUUGUCUGUUCAGUCAAGCUGUGUCACUCUGUUUUAAUUAGGUUCACAGUAUUUUGAUUUUGUGUGCAAAUUUAUUUGUAUGAUAUGACAUUUGUUUGAUAUUAAAUGAGUAUUUUUCUUCCUGGCCAAUAAAUGGUCUGAUUAGUU